rnacentral:rRNA from 1 species
GUCUUUUUGAUAAAUAAUUUAAAGUCUAAUCUGCCCACUGAUAAAAUAUUAAAGGGCUGCAGUAUUUUGACUGUACAAAGGUAGCAUAAUCAUUAGUCUCUUAAUUGGUGACUUGUAUGAAAGAUUUAAUGAGAUAUAUACUGUCUCUUUUUAAUUUAUAAAAUUUAAUUUUUUAGUUAAAAAGCUAAAAUGUAUUUAAAAGACGAGAAGACCCUAUAGAGUUUAAUAUUUAAUUGAAUUAAAAUUUUUUAUAAGAUUUAAAAUUUUAAUUUAAUUAAAUAUUUUAUUGGGGUGAUAAAAAAAUUAAAAAAACUUUUUUUAUAAAUUUACAUUAAUAAAUGGGUAAAUGAUCCGUAAUUUACGAUUAAAAGAAAAAAUUACCUUAGGGAUAACAGCGUAAUUUUUUUUUUUAGUUCAAAUAAGAAAAAAAGUUUGCGACCUCGAUGUUGGAUUAAGAUAAAAUUUAAAUGCAAAAGUUUAAAAUUUUUGAUCUGUUCGAUCAUUAAAAUCUUACA